GGAGCUGUGGUGUAGAGGUUAUCACGCCGGCCUGUCAAGCCGGAGAUCGCGGGUUCAAGUCCCGUCAGCUCCGCCA
rnacentral:tRNA from 1 species